UUUUCCCUUCAGAUACAUCCGAUAAAAUUGGAACGAUACAGAAGAUUAGCAUGGCACCAGCGCAAGGAUGACACGCACAAAUCUAGAAAUUGUCCCAAUUUCC